rnacentral:rRNA from 1 species
GACGAACGCUGGCGGCGUGCUUAACACAUGCAAGUCGAACGGUGAAAGCGGAGCUUGCUCCGCUGGAUCAGUGGCGAACGGGUGAGUAGCACGUGGGCAACCUGCCCCUCACUUCGGGAUAACUCCGGGAAACCGGGGCUAAUACCGGAUAUGACCUCCUUGGGCAUCCUUGGAGGUGGAAAGUUUUUCGGUGAGGGAUGGGCCCGCGGCCUAUCAGCUUGUUGGUGAGGUAGUGGCUCACCAAGGCGACGGCGGGUAGCCGGCCUGAGAGGGGGACCGGCCACACUGGGACUGAGACACGGCCCAGACUCCUACGGGAGGCAGCAGUGGGGAAUAGUGCGCAAUGGGCGAAAGCCUGACGCAGCAACGCCGCGUGCGGGAUGACGGCCUUCGGGUUGUAAACCGCUUUCAGCAGGGAAGAAGCCGCAAGGUGACGGUACCUGCAGAAGAAGCACCGGCUAACUACGUGCCAGCCGCCGCGGUAA